rnacentral:lncRNA from 1 species
GGAGAGUGGGGGAGCUGAGUUUUCCCUCCAUCUUGCUGCUGCUUCACUGGAUGUAAAGGGAGAGACACGCCUGCCUGUCGGUCUGAGAGAACAGACUUUACCGCCCAGAGUAGGAAUGCUGACUGACAGACAUUAUGAUUUGUGGUCCAGGUGUACAUGACCGUGUUGUGUUGGGGUUGAGUAGCGGUUUAGUUGUGUGGACAUUUGUCCCGUAUAGCCCUGAUGCUGCUCCACUCAUGAAAUCAGAAUUACUCACAGAAUCAGUUAUGGCUGGAAUUCAAUCUGAUCGCGGGUUAUAGGCACUGCAGCUCUGAAAUGUAAUGUUCUCAUUCGCGGAGAUCCCUUUCAUGAUAAACGCUGCAUAUGUCUGCUCAAUCGGAAGUUGCCUUUAAAAAACCUCAAUGCCUAUAACCCACAAUACGAUAGAAUUCAGCCUUAGUCUGUGUCAGACCAGGAGGAAGUUUGCCCAUACAGAUACAUACAUACAGAUACAUACAGACAGAUACAUACAUACAGAUACAUACAGACAGAUACAUAUAUACAGAUACAUACAUACAGAUACAUACAUACAGAUACAUACAGACAGAUACAUAUAUACAGAUACAUAUAUACAGAUACAUACAUACAGAUACAUAUAUACAGAUAGAUACAUACAGACAGAUAGAUAUAUACAGAUACAUACAUACAGAUAGAUACAUACAGAUAGAUACAUACAUACAGAUACAUAUAUACAGAUACAUACAGACAGAUACAUAUAUACAGAUACAUACAUACAGAUACAUACAUACAGAUACAUACAUACAGAUACAUAUAUACAGAUACAUACAUACAGAUACAUACAUACAGAUACAUACAGACAGAUACAUACAUACAGAUACAUACAUACAGAUACAUAUAUACAGAUACAUAUAUACAGAUACAUACAGACAGAUACAUAUAUACAGAUACAUACAUACAGACAGAUACAUACAGACAGAUACAUAUAUACAGAUACAUACAUACAGAUACAUGUAUACAGAUAGAUACAUACAGACAGAUAGAUAUAUACAGAUACAUACAUACAGAUAGAUACAUACAGAUAGAUACAUACAGAUAGAUACAUACAUACAGAUACAUAUAUACAGAUACAUACAGACAGAUACAUACAUACAGAUACAUACAUACAGAUACAUACAUACAGAUAGAUACAUACAGAUACAUAUAUACAGAUAGAUACAUAUAUACAGAUACAUACAUACAGAUACAUACAUACAGAUAGAUACAUACAGAUACAUACAUACAGAUACAUACAUACAGACAGAUACAUACAUACAGAUACAUAUAUACAGAUACAUACAGACAGAUACAUAUAUACAGAUACAUACAUACAGAUACAUACAUACAGAUACAUACAGACAGAUACAUAUAUACAGAUAGAUACAUAUAUACAGAUACAUACAUACAGAUACAUAUAUACAGAUAGAUACAUACAGACAGAUACAUAUAUACAGAUACAUACAUACAGAUACAUACAUACAGAUACAUACAUACAGAUAGAUACAUACAGACACAUACAUACAUACAGAUAGAUACAUACAGAUACAUAUAUACAGAUACAUACAUACAGAUAGAUACAUACAGAUAGAUACAUACAGACAGAUACAUACAGACAGAUACAUACAGUACAUACAGAUACAUACAGACAGAUACAUACAGUACAUACAGAUACAUACAGACAGAUACAUACAGACAGAUGCGUACAUACAGACAGAUAGAGUACAUACAGAUACAUAAAGACAGAUACAUACAGACAGAUACAGUACAUACAGAUGCAUACAUACAGAUACAUACAGACAGAUACAUACAUACAGAUACAUACUUACAGAUACAUACAGUACAUACAGAUACAUAGAUACAUACAGUACAUACAGAUACAUACAGACAGAUACAUACAGUACAUACAGAUGUAUACAUUCAGAUGUUUACAGACAGAUACAUACAGACAGAUACAUACAUACAUAUACAUACUUACAGAUACAUACAGUACAUACAUAUACAUACAUACAGACAGAUACAUACAGUACAUACAGAUACAUACAGACAGAUACAGUACAUACAGAUGCAUACAUACAGAUACAUACAGACAGAUACAGUACAUACAGACACAUACAUACAGAUACAUAAAGACAGAUACAUACAGACAGAUACAGUACAUACAGAUGCAUACAUACAGAUACAUACAGACAGAUACAUACAGUACAUACAGAUACAUACAGACAGAUACAUACAGUACAUACAGAUACAUACAGACAGAUGCAUACAUACAGAUACAUACAGACAGAUACAGUACAUACAGACGCAUACAUACAGAUACAUAAAGACAGAUACAUACAGACAGAUACAGUACAUACAGAUGUAUACAUACAGAUACAUACAGACAGAUACAUACAUACAGAUACAUACUUACAGAUACAUACAGUACAUACAGACAGAUACAUACAGACAGAUACAUACAGUACAUACAGAUGUAUACAUACAGAUGUUUACAGACAGAUACAUAGAGACAGAUACAGUACAUACAGACGCAUACGUAAAGAUAGAUACAUACAUACAGAUACAUACAGACAGAUACAUACAGACAGACAGAUACAGUACAUACAGAUACAUACAGACAGAUACAUACAGACAGGGCUGGGUGGAGCAGGGAUGCUAUGCAAGAUGACUUAAGCGCACACACCACAUACCACACCACAUACCACACCACACGCCACAUACCACGCCACAUACCACACCACACACCACACCACAUAAAAUACCACACCACACCACACACCACACCACAUACCAGACCACAUACCACGCCACACCACACCACAUACCACACCACAUAAAAUACCACAUACCACACCACAUACAAUACCACACCACAUACCACAUACCAUACCACACCACAUACCACCACACCACAUAAAAUACCACAUACCACACCACAUACAAUACCACACCACAUACCACACCACAUACCACACCACAU